AAACUGCUCCAUCCGUCCCAUAUUGAGUGUCGAAAUAUUGCAUGUAUAUAGACGCAUUUUAGAUAUAAAUACAUUCAUAUUUGGACAAAUUUGAGACAUUUAAUAUGAGACGGAGGGAGUAACUA
rnacentral:pre_miRNA from 1 species